rnacentral:lncRNA from 12 species
GCUUCUCUUCCAGAACUUCUGCUUCCUUCAUAGCCCCUGAACCUAUUUCCAAGUUUUCCGGCAGCCUUUUUGGUAGCAACGAUAACGUGAGAGAUCAGAGAAGUACCAGAGCAGCGUUUCAAGACAAGCAGAAGCUGGCAGUGCAGGGGAAGGCUGUGCCAGGAUGUCACCCCAAGGGGCAGCUGGCAGCAGGCAGCUGCCCCAGCGAGAGCGGCCGGGGGGGGGGGGGGGGGGGGGGGGGGGGGGGGGGGGGGGGGGGGGGGGGGGGGGGGGGGGGGGGGGGGGGGGGGGGGGGGGGGGGGGG